UGUGUGUGCCAGUCCCCGCGGUAAUAUGUAGGGGGCGAGCGUUACCCGGAUUCACUGGGCGUAAAGGGGGUGUAGGCGACUCAGUGUGUCGGGUGUGAAAUCCCACGGCUCAACCGGGGAAUUGCGCCCGAAACUACUGGGUUUGGGGCUGGUAGAGGGAGAUGGAACUGCUGGUGUAGGGGUGAAAUCCGUAGAUAUCAGCAGGAACGCCGGUGGGGAAGCCGUUUUCGUGGGCCAUGCCCGACGCUGAGGCCCGAAAGCUAGGGGAGCAAACCGGAUUAGAUACCCGGGUAGUCCUAGCCGUAAACGAUGCUCACUAGGUGUGGGGGAGUCAUCCUCCGUGCUGCAGUUAACGCGUUAACUGAGCCGCUUGGGAUACGCCCAACCG
rnacentral:rRNA from 1 species